CAGCCGCCACCCCGAGCGCCGCGCCGGACGGACGGGCGGGCAGGACAGGCGGGACGGCUCCGAGCGGGCGCGGCCACUCCGCGGGAGGCGCGAAGAAGUUGUCAACGGGGGAAAUUCGCGUCCGGCGCUCACGCAGUCCCGAGCCCGCCGCGCUAGCUCCGAGGGGUCCGCCGGGCGCGGAGGAGCCGCCGCCGCCGCCGCCCCCGCCCGGCGCUGAGAAGAAAGUGCGCCCGCCCGCACGUCGCGGUCGCGCUCGCCCUCAGCUGCCGCGGCCGCCGCUCCCCAUUCACAGCC
rnacentral:lncRNA from 10 species